rnacentral:rRNA from 1 species
GAUGAACGCUAGCUACAGGCUUAACACAUGCAAGUCGAGGGGUAACGAGAGGGAAGCUUGCUUUCCUUGUCGACGACCGGCGGAUGGGUGAGUAACGCGUAUCCAACCUGCCCUUCAGUAAGGGAUAGCCUUUCGAAAGAAAGAAUAAUACCUUAUGUGAUCGUUUGAUGACAUCAGAUGACGAUCAAAGAUUUAUCGCUGAAGGAUGGGGAUGCGUCCCAUUAGGCAGUAGGCGGGGUAACGGCCCACCUAACCUACGAUGGGUAGGGGUUCUGAGAGGAAGGUCCCCCACAUUGGAACUGAGACACGGUCCAAACUCCUACGGGAGGCAGCAGUGAGGAAUAUUGGUCAAUGGCCGUAAGGCUGAACCAGCCAAGUAGCGUGCAGGAUGACGGCCCUAUGGGUUGUAAACUGCUUUUAAACGGGGAUAAAGUGAGCCACGUGUGGUUUAUUGCAGGUACCGUUUGAAUAAGGACCGGCUAAUUCCGUGCCAGCAGCCGCGGUAAGAC